AUUUUACCGGUUUGGCCGAACCAGUAUUUCUUUUUUUUCCUCCCAACAAUCAGCUGUUCCAAUGAUCAGCUAUGCCUGGAUCCCCCUCACUGUUACUGCUUUGCCCUGGAGGCUUCCCUGAGGCCCAGGAGGCAAAAAGGGGGACGUGUG